rnacentral:rRNA from 1 species
AAACCAGCACCUCAAGUGGUCAGGAGGAUUAUUGGGCCUAAAGCAUCCGUAGCCUGUUCUGUAAGUUUUCGGUUAAAUCCACUAGCUCAACUAGUGGGCUGCCGAAAAUACUGUAGAACUAGGGAGUGGGAGAGGUAGACGGUAUUCGGUAGGAAGGGGUAAAAUCCUUUGAUCUAUUGAGGACCACCUGUGGCGAAGGCGGUCUACCAGAACACGUUCGACGGUGAGGGAUGAAAGCUGGGGGAGCAAACCGGAUUAGAUACCCGGGUAGUCC